UACGGAGGGUGCAAGCGUUGUCCGGAUUUAUUGGGUUUAAAGGGUGCGUAGGCGGCCGCUUAAGUCAGGGGUGAAAGACUGCAGCUCAACUGUAGCAGUGCCUUUGAUACUGAGUGGCUUGAGUACAGAUGAGGCCGGCGGAAUGGGUGGUGUAGCGGUGAAAUGCAUAGAUACCAUCCAGAACACCGAUUGCGAAGGCAGCCGGCUAAACUGUAACUGACGCUGAGGCACGAAAGCGUGGGGAUCGAACAGG
rnacentral:rRNA from 1 species